rnacentral:rRNA from 1 species
AUUGAACGCUGGCGGCAGGCCUAACACAUGCAAGUCGAGCGGAUGAAGGGAGCUUGCUCCUGGAUGCAGCGGCGGACGGGUGAGUAAUGCCUAGGAAGCUGCCUGGUAGUGGGGGAUAACGUCCGGAAAGGGGCGCUAAUACCGCAUACGUCCUGAGGGAGAAAGUGGGGGAUCUUCGGACCUCACGCUAUCAGAUGAGCCUAGGUCGGAUUAGCUAGUUGGUGGGGUAAAGGCCUACCAAGGCGACGAUCCGUAACUGGUCUGAGAGGAUGAUCAGUCACACUGGAACUGAGACACGGUCCAGACUCCUACGGGAGGCAGCAGUGGGGAAUAUUGGACAAUGGGCGAAAGCCUGAUCCAGCCAUGCCGCGUGUGUGAAGAAGGUCUUCGGAUUGUAAAGCACUUUAAGUUGGGAGGAAGGGCAGUAAGUUAAUACCUUGCUGUUUUGACGUUACCAACAGAAUAAGCACCGGCUAACUUCGUG